GGAGAGAUGUCCGAGUUGGCCGAAGGAGCGCGACUGGAAAUCGCGUGUGCUACUCAAAAGUGGCACCGAGGGUUCGAAUCCCUCUCUCUCCGCCA
rnacentral:tRNA from 4 species